rnacentral:ribozyme from 1 species
GCCACCCAGAUAUGCUGCCUCUGCAUGGCGGAUGGCAAGCAACGGAGCGCACCUAGGUUCUAUCUCGGCUAAAGCAUAU